rnacentral:misc_RNA from 1 species
CAACCCUCAAGCUCCAAGGCUUGGUGUUGGGGAUCAGCCGCCGCAGCGCCCUACGGUGCCGCAGGCUGUCCCCUAAAUACAGUGGCGGUCACGCCGCAGCAUCCUCUGCGUAGUAGCACAACCUCGCACCGGAUCGCAGCGCGACCACGCCGUAAAACCCCAUCUCUGAAA